AUGGCUCAAUCAAAAGCUGAAAGUAGAAAACCAAAAGGUGGUCGGAGCCAAUUGCAAGUGAAUCGCUUUAGCUUUUUCAAUCUUUGUGGGGUAGAAAACCAAAAGGUGGUCGGAGCCAAUUGCAAGGGAAUCGCUUUAGCUUUUUCAGGCUUUGUGGCAAAACGCAAAUGUUAUUUUAGCAAAAGCUUAAGACACCGACAGGUUUAAUAUAGAAAUAAAAAGGGAUAAAUUACAACAAUUAUCCUUGAGAAUUUAGGAAGUAAAACCCCCCACUUGAGGUUUGUAUAAAUGCAAAGAUUAAUUCAUGCCCUCUAAAAAGUGGGAUUUCACUAACAAUUCUUACCCAAAAGAUGAGAUGACAUUCCCUCUCAUGAGUUUGAUCAUGAGAUGACACACACACACGCAUAUAUAGAGGUUGGGUUUAAGUUACAUUGUGUGUAACUUUAAGUAAUAUCACACUAUUUAAUUUCUUGUUAUCAGAAUAAUAAUUUAAAAUUCACACUAUUUGAUUACAUAUUCUCUAUGUUUUUAACAUACAUGUUGAAUUUCACGACAAAGUAGGAAGUUAUUUACUUUUUCAUCCAUAAACUUAUAUUUGAUGUAUAAUUUUAAAUUACAGAAAGUUGAACUUUAAAUAUUUGAUUGAUAACAUGAUUAUUCAUCCUUGACCUUUUUGAAAAUUUUGUAAUUAUAGAAAGUAUAAGAAGAUAAUGUAAUCCAAAUGGUAGAUUUGUCAAAAUUUGCUUUCAAUAAAAAAUAUUAAAUGGUUUAACAUUGUUUAAAGUUAUACUAUAGAUAAAUUGAGUCCAACCCCCCCUCUCAUAAAAUCUUUAGAGGGUGUGUUAUUUCAUAUAAUGUUUUUGUGAGUGUCAUUUUGUAAAAUUGUGAAGAACAUUGGUGUAAUUUAUCCAAAAAAAAAAAAAAANUUGAUUGUCUAUUCGCCUUUUUUUCUGGUCGUCCAUCCCAUCAGAAGCUUUAUCAAUACUCAAGUGGCUCACUCUGACCAACGUUAUCCUGCCAAGGGGUUACCUCUCCAUUAAUACGGCCAGGGGGGUUAGUUGAGUGUAUUAAAUGCGAGAGUGACAGCUCACCUUGGGGUUAGCCACUCCCCGGAAUCAAUCUUGUCAGGCCGAGAACAAGGUGUCCUCGGCGUGGAUUCAAGAGAAUAGGCUUCCCCCCAUUCUCCUCAGAAAUAGCUUGCUCUCCUCGGCAUGGGCCUUGGGCCUGCUAUAUGAAGGACUGAGGCUAUCAGGCCCACGGACCCCACAACUAUAAAUAAAAUGUAUUGUAAUGUAAUAACUAAACAUAUUCAUUAGUUUGGUUGUGAGUUACAACAUUAGAAUGAAACUUAAAAUUUAUUUUAGGAAAUUUCUUACUCAUACAAUUAUAUUUCUUUAAAAAAAUUUAUUUUUAAAUUUAAGAGAGAUAUGUGUUAUUUUUUUAUAAUUGUUAGAUGUAUAUGGAAAGUUUGUUUACUUGGAAAUAUAUUAAGUUUUGAAAUUAUUGCACUUACUAAGGAAUAGCUAAUACAACACUUUAAAAAUGAAUAAUUAUUCAUCAUUUUGAAAAAUAACUAUUCAUAAGGAAUGAUUACUCCUUUUAAGAAAAACAUAACCAAACUAAAGAAUUACUAAACCAUAGGAAUAACUAUUACAUUACAACGCCUAUUAUAAAUACAAAGGAUAAUUACAAUUUACCCACCUGUGGUUUACCUCAAAUUCGAUUUGCCUACCUGUGGUUUAAUUUUUGACACUUUACCCACCUGAGGUUAGGUCCGUUUAGUCUCCGUAACCUACCUCUGUUAAAAAAAAGGGUAAAUAAGUCUUUUUCCACCCAUUUUAUGUCUCUCUCCUCCCAAAACAAGAAAAACAAAAAAAAAAAAACAAAAAAAAAACAAAAAAAAACAAGAUUAAAAUAUGUUAUUUGUUUCUUAUAAUUCACAAUCACGAAGAACAUUCACAAACAUAAAGAACAAACCCAGAAAACUAAUACAAAUCAAAUGAAGCAAAAUCAUGAGAGAGAGAGAGUUCUUCGUCUUCUUCCUUAUACUAAUUUUUUGUGCCUGAACUAAUAAAUUUAUUAAAAUCAAAGCAUAACACAGUUUACAACAUGACAACAGGGAGGAUCAACAAUUUCUAGCACUUAAUUUCUAAAUUUUUGAUUUUCAACAUCUAAGAUCUCACUCACGCAACAAACUUAAACAACAAACCCACCAUAAAAAAUCACAACAUCAUGAACAGUAGAAUAAAAAUUACUUGAUUUACUGGGUAUAAUAGAAGCAAAGUGAAAAUUUCAAAGCUAAACAACAACCCAAAACCCAUUGAAUCACCGGAUCUGCCACCAGAUCGGUCAACAAUUUCCUACAUCAAGCCCAUGACUUUCAAUGCUGAGCUUCGUUUUGUGAGAAUUUGAAGGAGGUGGCCUCGGCGGCAAUGGACUCUUCAAUUUGGCCACCAUAGCUGGCGAUGGCUUGGAUUUGGAGAGGAUGGAGGUCAGAUCAAACGGUGGCGCAUUCUCCUUGGCCGAUUUAGACUUCCAAGAGGGGCAUGACUUGGCGGAGCUACGGCUCGGCAACGACGCUGGAUCGGUGGACUUUGCCUCCCUCAAGAUCACGUUUCUAAACCAAAUCCAUACCCAUGAUGGAUCAGCUGCCUCCAGACACACCCCUUGUCCUCCUCUGUCAGUUCACCGCCCCUGCCAUGGUAGAUCAGCUAUGGCCCGUGGGUUUGGUGAUGUGACAGCGGCCCUAGGUUGGUGA
rnacentral:sRNA from 1 species